GUCUACAGCCAUGCCACCCUGAACAAGCCCAAUCCCGUCUGAUCUCGGAAGCUAAGCAAGGUCGGUCCUCGUUAGUACUUGAAUGUCCACCUAGGAAGACCAGGUGCUGUAGGCG
rnacentral:rRNA from 1 species